UACAGAGGGUGCGAGCGUUAAUCGGAGUUACUGGGCGUAAAGGGCGCGUAGGCGGUUGUGUGAGUGUGAUGUGAAAGCCCUGGGCUUAACCUAGGAAGUGCAUCGCAAACGACAUAACUGGAGUAUAUGAGAGGGUGGUGGAAUUUCCGGUGUAGCGGUGAAAUGCGUAGAGAUCGGAAGGAACGUCAAUGGCGAAGGCAGCCACCUGGCAUAAUACUGACGCUGAGGCGCGAAAGCGUGGGGAUCAAACAGG
rnacentral:rRNA from 1 species